GACGAACGCUGGCGGCGUGCUUAACACAUGCAAGUCGAGCGGAGCGGCGAACGGGAGAGUAACGCGUGAGUAACUGCCCCCCUCUCUGGGAUAACAGUUGGAAACGGCUGCUAAUACCGGAUAGUGGGGGAUGACUCGCGUCCUAUCAGCUUGUUGGUGGGGUAGUGGCCUACCAAGGGGACGACGGGUAGCCGGCCUGAGAAGUGGACCGGCCACCAUGGGCUGAGUUACGGCCCAAACUCCUACGGGAGGCAGCAGUGGGAAAUAUUGCGCAAUGGGGGAAACCCUGAGGCAGCAACGCGCGUGCGUGAUGACGGCCUUCGGGUUGUAAACCGCUUUCAGCCAUGACGCGGUAGUGGUAGAAGAAGCACCGGCUAACUACGUGCCAGCAGCCGCGGUAAUUC
rnacentral:rRNA from 1 species